rnacentral:rRNA from 1 species
UACGAAGGGGGGCUAGCGUUGCUCGGAAUCACUGGGCGUAAAGCGCACGUAGGCGGCUUUUUAAGUCAGGGGUGAAAUCCUGGAGCUCAACUCCAGAACUGCCUUUGAUACUGGGGAUCUCGAGUCCGGGAGAGGUGAGUGGAACUGCGAGUGUAGAGGUGAAAUUCGUAGAUAUUCGCAAGAACACCAGUGGCGAAGGCGGCUCACUGGCCCGGAACUGACGCUGAGGUGCGAAAGCGUGGGGAGCAAACAGG